GCAACCUUUUUCAAAUAUGGCGGCUGGAUUUUGCUGUAUUUAACGGACGGUAAUUUCAAGUCAUAAUAAAAAACCAAAAACGUCAUUAAUUAAAAGUGAUUGCAUUUGUGAAUAUGGAAAACAUUAAGGAUUUAUUGCGUUGCAAUAUUUCUCCUGAUGAUGUUCGGGAAGAAUUGAAUUCUCGAAAUAUUUUAAGUCAAGUCCAUGAAGAAAUUCUUGCUCAAGUUAAACAAUCGUGUUUUACUGUUGACAAUAUCGCUUAAUAAUUGUCUUCAAAAAAGAGUAAAUGAAAGCUUAGAAAAUAUCCCUGAUUCUCUUAUGGAGGACAUUGUUGCAUCAAUUGUUUCUAAAAAGCAACCUGAAUCACCAAAUAAAGAAACUUCAUCUUCUCCAAAAGAAACUUCAUCUUCUCCAAAAGAAACUUCAUCUUCUCCAAAAGAAACUUCAUCUUUUCCAAAAGAAACUUCAUCUUCUCCAAAAGAAACUUCGUCUACUCCAAAAGAAACUUCAUCUGAAGCUGAUGCUUUGUUUCAUGAUUCACCAUCAGAGGACAAACAUUUUUUUCAAAUCCUUCAUCGUCUACUUGCAGGUUCAACUGCAAGCAUAGAAUGUAUAAAAAAACUUUUUGAUGAAAUAAACAUUGAAACUGAUUGUAAAGCUGAUGCUACUGAAAGCAUAAUUGAACAGAAGGAACCAGAUUUCAAUUCUAAAGAAGAUGGACAGAAGAACAUUUCUUAUGAAAAAACAGAAGAUCUCUUCAGUAUUCCUGAGUCUAAUAGACGUUCAAAAGACAUCCCAAAUAUUGAAGCUAUUUUUGCUAGUGAAGAUAUUGGUGGUGAUUUCGACGUAUUAUUUGAGAGCAGUUCUAAUUAUUCAGUUAGCUCUGUACAUACCAGUGAUUUAUCAUCAUAUGAUGAUGCUAUAAGUAUUUCAACUGAUGAUGAAGAAUGUUUGGGAACAAAACAUAUCUCUGUAAAAGAAGCUUUAGAAAUUUGUUAUGGUGGUCCUGGUGCAUCAAAUGAGAUUGUGGAAUGUUGCAAGAAGUCCAAAAAAACAACUAAGAGUACUCAGAUUGCAAGAGAAAUGAAGCAUCACAAAAAACAAGCAUCAGCAAAUUGGAAUUCUGAAAACAUUUCACCUUCUCCAAAAAUGAAAAGAGGUAGAGGACGCCCUAGGAAGGUGCAGAAGCGGCGGGAGCCCAAACAAGGGCUUUUUUUUUGAAGGGACUCUGAAUACCGCCCAAGACACACUACUAAUGGUCUUAUCAUUAUCACCAGUCUCACAGGGUUUGGAUGUUCCAGGUUAUUGGAUGUUUUGACAAUUACUGGAUGAUUAGGGGACGAAUUUAAGGUGACACUUAGAAGUAACGGAUCUUGAGUUGUGUUUGAUGAAAAAAAGUGAAUUAGAAAGUGCUGAAAAUAUUUCGUCUAGUUCUGAAUUCCCUGGAAAAAAACUGCCUGAACGUAAUAGGAAGCUGAAUCCUAAGUACAAUUCCCAAAGUAUAAUUCCACAUUCUCG